rnacentral:rRNA from 1 species
GACGAACGCUGGCGGCGCGCCUAACACAUGCAAGUCGAACGAGCGAGAGAGAGCUUGCUUUCUCGAGCGAGUGGCGAACGGGUGAGUAACGCGUGAGGAACCUGCCUCAAAGAGGGGGGACAACAGUUGGAAACGACUGCUAAUACCGCAUAAGCCCACAGGUCGGCAUCGACCAGAGGGAAAAGGAGCAAUCCGCUUUGAGAUGGCCUCGCGUCCGAUUAGCUAGUUGGUGAGGUAAUGGCCCACCAAGGCGACGAUCGGUAGCCGGACUGAGAGGUUGAACGGCCACAUUGGGACUGAGACACGGCCCAGACUCCUACGGGAGGCAGCAGUGGGGAAUAUUGCACAAUGGGGGAAACCCUGAUGCAGCGACGCCGCGUGGAGGAAGAAGGUCUUCGGAUUGUAAACUCCUGUUGUUGAGGAAGAUAAUGACGGUACU